AGGUGGGAGCAAAGGAAGUGAAGGAAAGACUAGGUUAAUUUUACAGCUAUGAAAAAGUAAUAGAGAAAACUGACUGUAAAGGACCAAAGGAGUAUAUAGAUAAUCUUAUCAUCUUUCGUUUUAGUAUCUCCUUUUUCCACCUUUUCCUUUUCUGGGCCUAGAUUCUGACCACAAUGCCUUCACGUGAUGCCUUGGAGUUUUUCUCCCGGUGGAAAUUUAAAGUUGAAUUCUUUCUCAGUGAUUUUGAUAUUUAUUUGACCAACUCAACUCAGUCCAAACCAUCACCUGGUUUCUUGGAAAUUAUUGUUUUUCUAAUUUUUCUUGUUUUUGAAACCAGAAGUCCAGUUCUUAGUAUUGUUUGCCAGCUUCACUCUUAAUGAUGGAUGGGUUAUAAACUUUACACCCUGCCCUGCCCUGCGCUGCCCUGCCGCUGCCCCCUGCAGCUUGUAAUUGGUUCCCUUUUUGCAUGUACUCGUACACCAGAAAGCGGUGUUUCCCAUCGGCACAGUAGCCUAUCAAAGAAACGAGAUUUGGACGGUCAAGUCUGCUUAAGAUAUCAACUUCUACCCGGAACUCAAGUUCUCCUUCCGCUGCUUUAAAUGGCGGCAACUCUGUUUUCUUUAUCGCAACAACCUUCAGAUUUCAAAAGAGAAACAAAUUUAUGGUUCAACUACUCGUCGCAUGCUACUCACCUAAUAAUAGCAUCAUCUAAUCAAUUUAUUUACUUGGUUUGUUCGGGAAUUUUCUAGUUUAAUCUGAAGUAAUCAUGGUCUUA